rnacentral:tRNA from 1 species
GUCCCCUUCGUCUAGAGGCCUAGGACGCCUCCCUUUCACGGAGGCAACACGGGUUCGAAUCCCGUAGGGGACGCCA